rnacentral:rRNA from 1 species
GCCCCCCGAAUUGUAGUCUAGAAAGGCGCCAUCGGCCGCGUUCGUCGCUCAAAUCCCUUGGAACAGGGUAUCGGAGAAGGUGAGAAUCCUGUACCGUGGCGUCUCGCGGCCGCACGAUGCGUUCUUGCAGAGUCGGGUUGCUUGGGAUUGCAGCUUGAAUUGGGUGGUAAAUUCCAUCUAAAGCUAAAUAUUGGCUCAAGACCGAUAGCGAACAAGUACCGUGAGGGAAAGAUGCAAAGAACUUUGAAAAGAGAGUUAAAGAGUGCUUGAAAUCGGCAAGAGGAAACCCGUAUGCGCCUGGUUUCGCGCUGCCGACUCAGCCGUCUCGAAGCGGUGCACUUUGGCAGUGCGGGUCAGCCGCGACUUUGUGGGCGACAGAUCAGCCCGGUAGGCCUUCGGGGAGCCGUGUGAACGUCGCGCGCGAGGUCUCGGCUGACAGAACGGUCGCAUCCGACCCGUCUAGAAACACGGACCAAGGAGUCUGACACGGACGCGAGUACCCGGGUGGCAAGCCCGCGUGCGCAAUGAAAGUAAAGGGCGUGCCCCGCCAACCGACCUAGAUCUUCUGUGAAGGGUUUGAGUAGAGCGUCACUGUCGGGACCCGAAAGAUGGUGAACUAUGCCUGAGGAGGUUGAAGUCUGCCGAAAGGCAGAUGGAGGACCGUAGCGAUACUGACGUGCAAAUCGUUCGUCGAACUUGGGUAUAGGGGCGAAAGACUAAUCGAACCAUCUAGUAGCUGGUUCCCUCCGAAGUUUCCCUCAGGAUAGCUUGAAUGCAAGGGUUAUGU